rnacentral:rRNA from 1 species
UCAGUAGCACGUAGUUAAUCUGCCCUUGGGACGGGGAUAACCCUGGGAAACUGGGGCUAAUACCUGAUAGGUGCGGAGGCCUGGAAUGGUUCUGCACUGAAAGGGCUUCGAGAACAUGCUCUUGGGGUUGCCCAAGGAUGAGACUGCGGCCGAUCAGGUUGUUGGUGGGGUAACGGCCCACCAAGCCUAUAACCGGUACGGGCUCUGAGAGGAGGGGCCCGGAGAUGGGAACUGAGACAAGGUCCCGGUCCUACGGGGCGCAGCAGGUGCGAAAACUCCACAAUGCGCGAAUGCGUGAUGGGGUUAACCCGAGUGCCGUCCGAUGAGGAUGGCUUUUCCUCAGUUUAAGGAGCUGGGGGAAUAAGGGGGAGGGAAAGCCUUGGUGUCAGCCCCCCGCGGUAAUACCAGCUCCCCGAGUGGUGGGGGUAAUUAUUGGGCCUAAAGCGUCCGUAGCUGGCUUAGCAAGUCUUUUGUUAAAUCCAACGAUCCAAUCGUUGGAACUGCAGGAAAAUACUGCUGGGCUAGGGGGCGGAAGAAGCCGACGGUACUCCUGAGGUAGGGGUGAAAUCCUAUAAUCCCAGGAGGACAACCAGUGGCGAAGGCGGUCGGCUAGAACGCGCUCGACGGUGAGGGACGAAAGCUGGGGAGCGAUCCGGAUUAGAUACCCGGGUAGUCCCAGCUGUAAACUAUGCAGGCUAGGUGUUGGCGUGACCACGAGUCGCGCCAGUGCCCGCAGGGAAAGCUGUUAAGCCUGCCGCCUGGGGAGUACGGUCCGCAAGACUGAAACUUUA